AGGAUGAACGCUGGCGGCGUGCUUAACACAUGCAAGUCGAACGAUGAAGCCGGAGCUUGCUCUGGUGGAUUAGUGGCGAACGGGUGAGUAACACGUGAGUAACCUGCCCUUGACUCUGGGAUAAGCACUGGAAACGGUGUCUAAUACCGGAUACGAAUUUCGACGGCAUCGUCAGGAGUUGGAAAGAAUUUCGGUCAAGGAUGGACUCGCGGCCUAUCAGCUAGUUGGUGAGGUAACGGCCCACCAAGGCGACGACGGGUAGCCGGCCUGAGAGGGUGACCGGCCACACUGGGACUGAGACACGGCCCAGACUCCUACGGGAGGCAGCAGUGGGGAAUAUUGCACAAGUGGGCGACAAGCCUGAUGCAGCAACGCCGCGUGAGGGACGACGGCCGUUCGGUGUAACCUCGUUUAGUAGGAAGAAGCGAAGUGACGACUGACAGAAAGCACGACUAACUACGUGACCGAGCGACGACCGACGGUAAUCGUAG
rnacentral:rRNA from 1 species